rnacentral:lncRNA from 1 species
CAGCAACCUCGCGGCGCGGAAGGGUUUCGUUGCUAGGGAGAUGGGCUGAGCCGGGCGGGCAUCGCGCCAGACCUGCUACUCUGGAUAAUCCACUCUCCUGGAUAAUCCACUACCCUGGAUAAUCGGCUGCCCGCUUUUGCGCAUGUUAGGGAGUUGACGGCCUGUAGCAUUCUGAUGCAGCAAAAUAUUUCGCAGGGUCUGUCAUAGGGAUCUCCGGUGAGAGGAGGUUCCCUUCGAAGGCAGAACUGGAAACCUUGCUGCUAACUUGGUAGGGUUGUUGAGAUAAUUACAUGAGAUGGCAUAUGAAGGGCGGCUUAGUUCAAUACCUGGCAUGUAGUAGGUGUUCAGUGGGCGUAGUUACCGGAUUGAUUCAGAUAGUCUGAACGCCAGUGUCUCUUGAAAGAAAUAAACUGGCCGGGCGUGGUGACUGUAAUCCCAGCACUUUGGGAGGCCGAGGUGGGCGAAUCACUUGGGGUCAGGAGUUUGAGACCAGCCUGGCCAGCGUGGUGAAACCCCGUUUCUACUAAAAAAAAAAAAAAAAAUACAAAAAUUAGCCGGGCAUGGGGGCGGGCGCCUGCAAUCCCAGCUGCUUGGGUGGCUGGGCGGGCUCCUGCAAUCCCAGCUACUCGGGAGGCUGAGGCAGGAGAAUCGCUUGAACCCCGGGGUCGGGGGCGGAGGCGGAGGUUGCAGUGGGCCGAGAUCACGCCAUUUUCUGGGCGAGAGAGCGAGACUCCGUCUCAAAAAAAAAAAAAAAAACCAUGAAAGAAAUAAGCUCAGUGAAGGCGGGCAUUCUGCCUGGCUAACGCAGGUCGCUCCUUGCCGUGCCUGGAACAUUACUGUAAGUGCUCAGCAAACUACUUUAAGGUAGGAAUAAAAUCUGCAAGGUUGCUUUUGUUUAAAUUGGAUAACCUUUUGUGUUCCAAGUCUUUGGAGUAAUUUUGUGUUCCAAGUCUUUGGAAUAAUUGUGUCCUUAAUUAUUAUACUAGUCACUGUUAAAUUUUGAAACUCCAGUGCGUCCCAUGAAGGGUGUUGAAAGCAGCAGGGGCCUAGAAGACAUUAAACCGAUACCACAGAAAUACAAAGGAUCAUUAGAGACUAUUAUGAACAACUAUAUGCCAACAAAUUGGAAACCAAAUGGAAAUGGAUAAAUUCCUGAACAGAUACAACUUACCAAAAUUGGACCAAGAAGAAAUAGAAAACCUGAAAAGACCAACUAUGAGUAAUGAGAUUAAAUCAGUAAUAUAGAGUCUCCCAUCAAAGAAAAGUCCAGGCCCUGAUGGCUUCACUGCUGAAUUCUACUGAACAGUUAAAGAAGAACUCAUACCAGUUCUCAAACUCAUCCUGUGAGGGCAGCAUUACCCUGAUACCAAAACUAGAUAUGGACACAAGAAAAAAAAUCUAUAGGCCAGUAUCCCUGAUGAACAUAGAUGCAAGAAUCCUCAACAAGACCAGGUGUGGUGGUUCAUGCCUGUAAUCCCAGCACUUUGGGAGGCCAAGGCAGGUGGAUCACCUGAGGUCAGGAAUUUGAGACCAGCCUGGCCAACAUGGCAAAACCCUGUCUGUACUAAAAAUACAAAAAUUAGCCGGGCAAGGUGGCGUGUGCCUGUAAUCCUAGCUACUUGGGAGGCUGAGGCAGGAGAAUUGCUUGAACCUGGAGGGAGGAGGGGCAGAAGUUGCAGCGAGCUCAGAUCGUCCCACUGCACUCCAGCCUGGGUGACAGAGUGAGACUCCAUCUCAAAAUAAGUAAAUAAAUAAAGAGACUCAACUAGCAUAAAUGAAUUGCAAGUGUUUUAUAGUAUAUAAUGAGCACAACAAAAGUAUCAAUAUAUUACAUGGAAAUACAUUUUUCAAAGCUGGAUCUUUAGCUUCCAAGGAUUAAGGAGAAUUUUGUUACUGAGUUGGUUCUUAAUUUAGGCUCUGCACCUGAGACCUAGAGUCCCCUGGGAUUUGGGUCCGAGGACUGGCAUUACCUUUGUAGGUGGCUCUUGGCAACUAGCACUGUCUAAGAUCUUAACAUUUGCAAAUGAAGCCUUAAAACAUGUCCCAAAAGUAUGGAAAGUGGGCCGAUUUCAACACAACCAUUACCUGUUCCUGGUAGCUGACCAACUAGGAGAUUUCAGAGGUCAAGUGGGACAGAGCAGGGUAGGGAAUUUUUUUUUAAGCUUUAUUAUAAAACAGGUAACUUUGUCCCUAUCUUAAGAAUUUGGAACUGAGGCUAUAGGUCACUCAAUGAUCAAAUAAUGAAAGGUCUGCUUCAACUGGACUACUUAAUAUUUCACAUUUACCUUUUUGACUAGAAAUAACUGAUGAAAGUUCACUUAGUUUGGUGGGAAAUAAGAGAUACAAAGAUAUCUUCUCCAGGAUGAGACUCCCAAAAGCAAAUGUUCUCUGAGUACCUCUGUCGCUCAAAUUUAAGCCCUUUGGAGUUCCUUUGAGCAUGGUUCUGCCCUCAUAUUUCUGAUCACUCCCUCUAGACUCCUACUCAACUUCUC